UCCCCUCCCUCUCCUCAGUUCUUCUCUCUCCCCGCCUCACCCCGCUUCUCCCCCUCCCUCUCCCACCAAGUCUGGCACUGAACGCGAACUGUUUUGCUUUGCUUGGGGAAGAGUGCAGACAUAACGUGAAAUCCCCAGCUUAUUUAUUUAUUUAUUUAUUUUGCGUGGUGCAUUUAAAACGCUCCCUUAUUUAUAUUACCCUCAUCCCCUCACCUCUCCCACCCCCGCACCGGUCCUUCCAAAUUUCCCUAGAAAUCCGUGCAAAGCGUGCGGAAGGGGAAAACAUUUGCACAAAAAGUGAAGGAGCUCGCCAAGGAGUUCCCGUUUGGGUGGUCAAACCUGUCCUGACGUCGUUGCCCCGAGGUCUGCUUGAGGGAUGGCCACCGGAGGAGGGGAUCUCCGAGGUCACAGGAGCAGGAGGGUCCAGUCAAGUGAGCUCUGGAGUCCCAGGAAUCUCCUGCUGAAGAAAGAAUCUAAAGAGAUGCCUAAGUUCCAGGGAAUUUUCCUCUAAGACUAAUAACAUCAAGAGAGUUUUUAUUUUAUUUAUUUAUGGUCAUUGUUUUUCUCUACAUGAAAAAAAAAAAAAAAAAAAAAAAAAAAAAAAAGAGUCAUCUUCAGAGAACCCAAUUAGAAUUUUUAAUUUUCCUUGUGCUGGUUGAAGAAGAAUCUCAAACCUUGGUGCUGUUUUUUUGUUUAUUUCAAGAAGAAUUUCAGCAGGUGCUUGACAACUUAUGCCUCCUAUAAAACCAAGAAAUUUAUUUUUACAUGGUGCAUAUUCAAGAUAUCUUCCAACUGACACCCCACCGAACAAAGAAGUUGAGCCAUUUUUCACUAUACAUUUUUGGUUACAUAUUCGAGAACUGUUUUGAAAGUCAACCAUAGUAAUAAUAGCCAAUUCAAAAAAAUAUCCUACUGAAGAGUGAGUUACAUCUUUGUCUCUAUUUCUACAUUUAUACUCCAUCUCUCUCCAUCUUUUAGUUCUCCCAGAAACAAAACAGAGUAUCUCUCCUCUGGCAAACUAAUGGCAAAGUUCCAUGUAAGAAAAUGCUGAGCUUGAAAUUAUGAAACAUCACCAUCAGUUUGGAAGGAUUACAGGAUUAGGAUGUAACCAGAAAUGUAGGGCUCAAGGGCCUAGAACACUAAGUUCAGAGAUGCCAUGUCAUUGGCUCCAAGGUUAAAAACAGAGGACCACAGUUUCAUUGCCUGUGAUUAUGACAUACUCGCACAUCAGUUGGGCUCAAAUACGCAUGGAAGACAGUCAGCCAAAGGGUAAAUAAAUUAAACUGAAGUGACUCAGAAAGCACCUAGGGAGCUGAGUUGUGAAGCAGUAACAAGGAACUUUGUUCUUGAGAGAAUGGCCCCAUUUAGAACUCAAGGGAGAGAGCCUCAUUAGAAAACUCAAAGAAUCAUGGUACUAAAAUGAGUUUCAUUUAUAAGCUUUCUCAAUAGAGAUGGAAAAGAUUAUGUAGGAUGGUGUAAGGGGGGCUGGUAUCUAUAUUUGGAAAUUCUGGGCAUUUACCAUACACUAAAUUCAAGGCAUUUCCCCGAUUAUUUUAUAUUUUUAAAUUAUUUGAUUUUUUUG